CCUACGGGGGGCAACAGUGGGGAAUAUUGGACAAUGGGGGCAACCCUGAUCCAGCCAUGCCGCGUGUGUGAAGAAGGCCCUCGGGUUGUAAAGCACUUUCAGUGAGGAAGAACGCCUGGUGGUUAAUACCCAUCAGGAAAGACAUCACUCACAGAAGAAGCACCGGCUAACUCCGUGCCAGCAGCCGCGGUAAUACGGAGGGUGCGAGCGUUAAUCGGAAUUACUGGGCGUAAAGCGCGCGUAGGUGGCUUGAUAAGCCGGUUGUGAAAGCCCCGGGCUCAACCUGGGAACGGCAUCCGGAACUGUCAAGCUAGAGUGCAGGAGAGGAAGGUAGAAUUCCCGGUGUAGCGGUGAAAUGCGUAGAGAUCGGGAGGAAUACCAGUGGCGAAGGCGGCCUUCUGGACUGACACUGACACUGAGGUGCGAAAGCGUGGGUAGCAAACAGGAUUAGAUACCCGGGUAGUC
rnacentral:rRNA from 1 species